AAUAAUAUGAGGAUGGACAGGAAGAUGCCAUCUGGACCUGACAGUAGUGUGGAGCAGUCAGUUACAUCACCAAGAUAACGUCUGGCCGCAGCAUUUUUUGGCCAAAAAGACACCAUGCUGCAGAAUUGGCAUUUUUCUUGCCUUACAUGCACCCCUAAAUGAAAAAAGACAAGCCACUAUAUGGUCAAGUUAACAGACAUUUUCUUUCAAUAUAAGAAUUUAAGGGUAAAGCUGAACUCCCUCUGUUCCUCAGAAUGGCAGCCUGGCAAGCUCUGUAUACAAGCCCAUUUCUGAUUGCUAGGAAUCAAGCGUGGAAUUCGCUGGUUGUUGUACAGUUGCCUUGGCAAGAUGACCGCUCAGCAUAGGCGGCUUCUCUCCAUGCUGGAAGUUCAUUUUCACAGGUACAAGCUA